ACCUGCAUUCGAAAGUGAUCAUGGUCUGUCUGUGUCCUGGUCAUUGAUAGUGCAGGGAGAGGAGUUGCUGAAAGCGCUUCCCCGUGUUUGGAGGGUCCCUUCCUGUCCCUUCUAAACUCUGGAGCUUUCCCACA
ensembl:snoRNA SNORA71 Small nucleolar RNA SNORA71